AGUUUUUAUUAAUGACCUGCCGACAUCAUAUAGUUCAUGAAAUGCUCUGAAUGUGUACAUGCUGAUGAUAUGACCUCAGACCUAGCAAGAACUCAGGCAGUAUGAAAGCAUUGUGUGUUUAAUUUAGAGAUUUAUUGAGUGAUGUUCACAACAUAGAUACAAAGUUUACGCAGAAUUUACAGGCCCGCAGUUUUUUUAACUACACAGAAAAAUCCUGGGGAAUUUUAUAGUCACCUAUAUUAUAAAUGGAAAUAAGAGCACCAGUAGCUUAAGUGGAAAAUGAAAAGUAUAUCUGGGCCUUUAUAUACAAUCAUAUUCCCAUAUCAAAUAAUAUAAUUUUGGUUGGUAAAAACUUCACAUUUCAGAAGUAUGCUAUUUCCCAGUAAAGAGUUAAAAAAAUAUAUAAAUAUAUGUAGCUUCUUUAUACCCAUCUCUCUGAACGAAAAUGUGGAUGUAUACUUUCUUCAGAAUGUUCUUUUAAGUUCAGUCAGUUAUGAAGUGACAAAAUUUCUCCACAGUAACAAAAGGUUCUUUAAGACUAGAUUGCCAAGUAUAGUUUUGUAUCAUCCACUUGCUAAAACAUAUAUAAAGGUGGAGUACACUGGUUAUGGUCCAUAUGCUUUGGAGUAACUUCUCCACUUACAGAAAUCUCCCUUUGCUGCCUCCCUGUAGAGGAAGAGGUAGGGUACUGGACCAUAUAUAGUAUAGUAGGAUUCUCCAUACUUUCCUUGGACCAAAAUAGAGGAAUUGUUUCUACAGAGAGAAAGAGAACAGUCUGGAUGGAUGGCUUUUGUGCCUGGGUUUUCAGUACAUCCUAAGUUCAGCAGCACAGACCUUGGGUUCCAGGGGUUUCUUCUAUGGCUCAUAAUAAACUUUCCUUGUGUGUAGAAGCUAUACAUAUACUAAUUGCAAGGAGAUGAAAGGCAUAUGGUUUCUGUACCAAGGAACUUAUAGUUCAGUGGGCUAUACAGUGGUUAAGAGAAAGAGUUCUGAGCAAGGUCACCUGGUUUCAAAUUCUAGUUCUGUUGUUAUCCAGAUGAGCAACAUCGGGAACACUGCUUAUCCUCUCUGGUUUUAGUGUCUCCAUGCCCAAUAUGGAGAUCAUAAUCUUAGCUACCUCAUCGAGCUGCUGAGGGUUAAGUUAGAUAAUACACAUUAGAGGCUUCCCAAAGUGAGAAACAUAUACAAUGCUGAAUGAACAGUUAAGUACGGUUGUUAUUAAAGAAAUAAGCAUCCUACCAUAAGAAAAGUGCUAUAGAAUAAUAAACAAUACAUUUCAAGAGCACAGGAGGAGAAUCAGUCAGUUCUGACUUAAGGAAAUGGCAGUUGAAGAGAAGGACAUGGAAGAGAUGACAUUUAAAAAUAAUAGUCACAAGGUGCCUGGGUGGCUCAGUCGGUUAAGCAGCCGACUUGGUUCAGGCCAUAUCUUGCCGUUCGUGGGUUCGAGCCCCGUGUUGGGCUCUGUGUCCAGCUCAAAGCCUGGAGCCUGCUUCUUAUUCCGUGUCUUCUUCUCUCUGCCCCUCCCCCACUCAUGCUCUGUCUCUUUCUCAAAAAUAAGUAAAAACAUUAAAAAAUUUUUAAAUAGAUAAUAGUCACUGCUGCACAAUUAUUAUGUUGCAGGCACUGAACUGAGCACUUUAGAGACUUGAUCUCAUUUAAUCCUCAUUUAAUACAAUGCCCUGUAAAAGGACUCUUCUUUUCCAGAGGACACUCUGAGCUAUGAAGCAAUGAAGCAGUGAAGGCUGAAUAAUUUGCCCCAGUUCCCAGAGCCAGGAGGUGGCAGGGCUGGGAUGUGGCUUGAAGCCAUGCUAGAUCCACACCAAAGUUUUUAAGCAUAUUAAUGCCCAUGCUUUUGAGUGCUACACUGCGUCUCCUUCCCGCCCCCGCCCCCGGCACAUCUGGAAAGGGUGUAUGCUGGUUGAAGACAGGGCUAGGCAGAGAACAAUUUCAGGCAGAGAGAAAAAUAUGUGUAACUGUACAGAGGUGUGAAAAUAUGUAAAAGGAGUCUGGGGACCACAUGUAAAGGGCCACUGGGGCCAGGCUAGAGUCUGGACUUGGGCUUAUGAAUAGUGGGGAGCCACUGAAGAAUUUUAAAGCCACCAAGAGAAGUCACAUAAUCAGCUUUGCAUCUGAGAGAAAAAAUACUAGGGACAGUGGUUCUGGAUUGAUUGAGGGGCCUUGACAUUACAGGUGGGAAACCUUUGGGAAGAUCUGGGCAAGAAAUGGUGAGAGCUUGAGGUUAGAGAAAAGCAGAGGGGUUGGUGAAAACAACAGAUUGGAGAGGCGUUUCGGUGGUGGAUUGAACGGGGCUUGAAAACGGGUUGCCUGAGUGCAGGAGAGUGAAGCAGAGGCUGCCACAGGUUUCCGUCUUGCUGGCUGGUGAUUGAAAUUAAUGGAGAUGGUGAAUGCAUGAAGUUUACUUAAUUUCCCUGUAAGGAUUUGUUGGGUAAAGCCAGGGUUAAGAAAUAGAAAAACUUCUAAAGGAGAUAUUUAGGAGCAUUUUCAGAGACUUAAACUUGACAAUGCAAACUUCUAUUGUCUAAAAGAGGAGUAAAGGAGAAAUUAAAGGUACCGGCACCUUGGAAAAUUUCCAAUUGCCAUUACAGGCUCUUAGAGGGUCACUGGAAAUGGCAAGUAUGCACAACUUUCAAUUACAGUAAAAGCUCACUGAUUUGGAUUAAUUGGGGUAAAGGGCAGCCUGACUAAAUAAAAGUCUGAUUUAUAGAAAAAAUUUUAAAUAAACUCUGAUUACUUAUUUAAGUAUUUUAAGCUAAGUUAACUCUGUUUUCUAUCACAAGUGAUAAAUUACUAAGAAUGAUUUGCAAAUAAUAAGAAAAAGUCCUAGUCUAAAGGGCAAUUGUAUUUAUUAAUUUGUUCAUUAAUUUAAUAAAUAUUUAGUGCCCACCAUAUGCCAGGCAAUACUGAACAUAAAUAAUGCUUCUGAGCAUCACUCUUUAUGCUUUUAAAAUAACCAAUGCUCUUCUUUUCUUGUAAGUCUGAAUCUUGACAAAGCUUGGAUAUCUGAAAAUCUGGCCUCAGGAUGAAUCGCCUUGUAAGCCUUUCCUUGUGGUGCAUAAAGUAGAAAGAUCUCCAUUUCAAUGAUCACAAUUAGUGAGGUGGAAAGUCAGAGGUUUUCCUGUAGCAGAGUCUCCUAUUGGUCUCCAUGCUUCUGUUCUUAUAGUUCUUCCAUCCAUCUUCCUCUCUGCCCUGGGCACCGUUUCUGAAAUGUAAAUCUCACCCUGUUGGUUCCAAUUUUCAUCUCCUUCCAUCUUGGAUAUCAUCUACAGGAUAACAUUCAAACAAGUUCUUUGGCAUGGAAUUCAAGACUCUGGUCAUAUAUCAAUCCUUACCUAUUUCUAUGUAACUCACUCAGAAUUUGCCCCAAGCUUGCUUCUCAGAACCUGCUGCUCCCUGGCUCUGUAUUUUUGCAUAUGUUGUCCCAUCUGCUUAGAAGUCCCUUAACAUUUUAUCCUUGAACUUUUAUUCAUCCUUCAAAACUUGGUCAGGAGGGACCUUUUCUUUUUUCUCCCUCCUGGGCAGAAUGCCUCACCCCUUCUUUGUUUUACUUCUGUGAUUCUGAUAUUGCAUGUAUCACAUGAACAUUUGUUUAUGUGUUUAAAUGUUUCUCUCCCCUACAAGACAAUACAUUUCUUGAGGUUGGGGGGCUUUGUUGCUUUCAUAUUUGUCUCUAUGGUAUUAAGUGUAGCAUCAGAUACAGUAUAGAUACUAAUAAGUAUUUACUGAAUUAAGUUGAGUGGACUGUUCUUAACUAGUGUGGAUUCUACCAAGACUUCUUGCCUUGCCUUUUUUAUCCUGGCCCCUGUGUAUUCAAUUUAGCCUUACUUAUAACAAAUACUGGUCAUCAUACAAGGAGAAAGGGGUACCCAGUCAAAUAAAAAAAAAAAAAUCAUGUAGUUAUUUCUCAUUAUAAAUUUGGGUUGAAAAGGUGCUUUACAAUUAUGUAUACAUGUUUUCUUACCUUUAUAAUUAAUUUUUCUAUACAAUCCACUCUCAUUCUCUCAGUCUGCUCCCACCACAUCUUCUUUCUAUCACUGUAUCCAUAUCACUGUCUGUAUAGGUUCAAAGGCAGCUCCGUAAUUAGACUACAAUUUUCUCUUUAAAUCUCAGUUUAGUGAUGUGCCAUCAGAAUCUCAGAACCCCCACAUCUGGGGGUUAGGCAUAUUUAAAUGCUAUAGUUUAUCUCCAUAAAUUCCUGCUACAUUUGAUCUUCUGACUAUUAGCUUUCUCUACUGUCUAACUCUUCCAGCAAUUCUGUCUUAGGGCCCAUAACUGUAAAUGAUCACUAUGACAAGAAGAGAUGCAAUUAGUUAGAUUAAUGUUCAAAGAGUUCCCUUUAAGUUGUCAAUACCCAUAUUUAUAUCAUAAUGCUGUAAUUUUGGCAGAAUUAUUUGCUUUUUAUGAAAAUCUGAUGAAGCAAUUUUCAGAUAUUCUAACAUGAAUCAAAAAUUUGAAAAAUACACAGAUACAUAUCCAUACUCCUAUUAACUUUUCUCCAUUUUAAGUAAUUUUAUAUUUUGGGAUUUGGGCUGGGAAAGAAGAGUAACUACAUAUUUUAAGAAUGGAUUUUCAAACAGACUUUCCAGUCUAGUUUUGAAAAGUCAAGGCAUCGUUUUUGGGCUUUGCUGACUGAUGGCAAAGUACAAAGAAAAUGGUGAAAAGAUUUUUCUUAAUAUCUAUAGGAAAGUAAUUUGAAAUCUUUGUAAUGUGCUGCCAGGUUCUAGUAUGUGUGAGGUUUUAUCACACACACACACACACACACACACACACACACACACACACACACAGGAUUAUAUGAGAAAGUAAAUAAAAACUAGUUUCUAAAACUAACCAAAGAGAAAAGGAGUAAUGGAGUUUAUAAUAGGUAAUUGUUCUGAUAUCCAACGCCAUAAAAUCCAGGCCAUAUUUCUGUAUUGUCAAGUAUUCUAGAGAUUGAAGUUCAGAGUCGUGUAUAUAGUUAGAGAUUUGGAUAUUGAUAGAAACCUGGUAAUGUUUUGGCUGGGUGGACUCAAUUUUCUUAUUUACAGUGAGUUAGCAGAAAAUAAGAAGACACAAUAGUAGAUUUUGUGUCAGCAUCAUUGUGCUCUGUUCAGAAAUUCUGAUCAUUUUACUUGCAGCCUUUGUCUCCAUUUUAUGUCACUGAAAAAGACACUUUUAAUGCUAAUGAAAGGCUUCCCCUCAUCCUUUACUCCUUAAGUUAAUCAAUUAAGGAAGCCCAUCACGAAGGAUCAUAAGUUCCACGAUGACGAUGUCAAGACUGUAAUUGGCUUUACUGCCUGUAUUAUUACUUACCAAAGCUUCAUUAUUACUAACACCACAUGACAGCAGAGAGAGCCCCUCACUGGUCUUUGUUUAAAGAAACCUCCAGAAGGGUUGCCCCUUAAUAAUAGUCUGUGAAAUCCCAAUCAUGCACUGAUUCAAUUCUGUAUUUUAAUUUUGUUGAUACCUAGUAUUUUAGAAGUUUGAAACUGCAAAAUGCAUGAAAUAAUGUUAUGUCUAGGAUCCAAGCAAAGCCACUCUGGGCCACUUGGUAAAUGUCCAUUUCAGAACAGGCAAUGCGUUCAGUUCUGUUGGCCUCCACUCCUGGAGGCAGAACCUCUUCAUAAUCUUGGGGAAUACGUUUGGGUAUCGGGAUUUGAUGAAAGCAAACCUGAGCGAGCCUGUGAGUAGCUUCCCUGGGUUCUCUGCUCUGAUUUAAUACCCAGAUCCCAGUGCAGUUGCACAUGAAUGCAUUAAGUAUCAAGAAACUGUACUUGCUUGAGGGAGGUGAUGGAUAUAGAGAUAAUUUUGGAUAAUUCCCCAUAUGUCAUGAUAUCUAAGAUAAAGAAAGAGAACAUUACUUGCUCCAUUAUGUCCUCUAAUACAAUUCAACAAACAUUAUUAAAUCCUUCUUAUGUGAAAGAUCCAGGAACCCAAAGUUAGGUUUGUGAAAUAAGUGAUCAUAAAAACAUUAAUCAUGAAAAUUCAUGAUCCAAAAGCUCUGUCUUAUUAAUCGUCCUUGUGGAUCAGCCUCUUCCCCAGUGUCUCUUAAUGCCAAAAGUUGGCUAACCUGGCUUUAAGUCAGAUGUUUACUGCAGGUGCUCAUUUUUUCAUUCAGUUAAUCAGUCAACACAUUUGCUGAGCAUGUAGUAUCUGUAGGUACUAUACUAGUUGCUGAGACUGAAUACAAGGGCUUAGUGGAAAAACAAAUGCGUACUUUAUUAUUAUGAAGAAUGAAGUCCAGUGUAAUAAAGAAAUAUGCUCAGUUGGCCAAUAUAAUUGUAAUCCUUAAUCAGCCAGCAUUCAAGAUAUCCAUAUAUGAAAGGCAGAUAUUCUACUGGCUGCCUUAUUAUAUUUACUUUCUCCUGGGGUUCUUUUCUAUGGUAACUGCUUUGCCUAGACUGAUCCUUUUUUCUGACUUAUACCACAAGCUUUGUGUGGAGUCUUUUUCUAUUGAUUCCAGCUGUUAAAGAAAUCUUGACUUGGGUAGUUAAUCAGUUCACUCUGCCCUGCCUCUGUCUGUGGCUCCUGCCUUCAACUCUUGGCCCUAGUCUGUGAUAUCUGGUCCUACCUCCUGUCUUAGUGGUCUCUGACCCAGGACCCCAUUGUGAGUUCUUGAGCUCAUUUCUGGUCUCUAUAAGGCUGCUGUUAACUGGGGUUCUGCUAUUGCACUCAGAUAAUAUAAGGAGUUUAUGCCAGUGAGUAUGCUGUUACAGAUAGCUCCAGGUUGGCAUAUCCUCAAAGUAAAUGAGUGUAUCUGUUGUCUUCUGCCACAAUAUGCAGUGCAAAAAUCAACCACACCACACAAUCCAGCAGCAUAAAACAAUAAGCGUUUACUUACCUCAUGAGUCUGUGAAUGGACAGGGCAGUUCUGUUCUUGGCUGGCAAGUCACUGACAAAGCAGAUUACUUACUGAUUGUUGCUAGGCCUUAGCACAUAUCUGUGUCCCAGGCCUGGAUGACUGGGCUGGCUCAGCCCUGCUCCAUGCAGCCUCUCAUUGUCCAGCAGACCAGCCCAGGUUUAUUUUCAUGGUAGCGGCAGGGUUCCAAGAAAGAGAGAAAGCAUACAAGGCCUCUUGAGCCCUAGGCUUGGAACUGGGUCACAGUGUCACUUUCACUGAUCUUUUUUGGCCAAAAUAAAUCACAAGGGCAGCCCAGAUUUAAGGGGUAGGAAAACAAACCUUGCCUCUUCUUGAAGGGAGUAGCUGCAAAGUCAAAAUCAAAGGAAUCUGGGAAAAUUGGGGCUUUCUUUUUCUAUCGGUCUUCCAAAAUGAAUUGGUUUCUGACGAUUUAACAGUAUAUUUCUCUAAAGUUUUUGGCUAGAACUUGAGGAGGAAUGGUGAUAUGGACAUAAAGUGUGGUGGAGAGAAAAGAUGAUCAACAUGGUGGUUUUUUUCCAUCCCUCCAUAGAGCAGUCUUGAGAGCUGUGCAAGGUGCCCUAGGAGAGAAUAAGGACUAGAGGAAUAAGCAAGGUAGGAAGCGAAGCAUUUGUGAAGUGGAGUACAAUGGCUUCUUCUGGAUGUUUGGUUGAAUCAUCCUGAUUGCUCCCACUUUCAUCUUGGUUUCCAAGAGCAGGGGGAAAUUAUAAGGAAUAUUCUGGGUGGCUUCUCUCCAGGAGAUCUGUGGAACCCUCACUAUCUGGAUGGUAGAUACAACCA
rnacentral:lncRNA from 1 species